GUCACAUUGAAGUGACAUCGGGGUCACAUUGGGGUCACAUUGAAGUGACAUCGGGGUCACAUUGGGGUCACACAGGGGUCACAUUGAAGUGACAUCGGGGUCACAUUGAGGUCACAGUGGGG